AACAAAUGUGUGGAACACCAACUCCCCAUUUCAACUCCUCUCCUGGUAUCCACCCUCCUGUGGAGUUCCCUCUCAGACUGCAUCGGGCUGAUGUGUAUAGCCACUAGGAUAUUGCAGAAAUGGUAGAGCGGGGCUUCUGAGGCAAGGUCAAUAAAAGACCUUCCAGAUCCCUCUUUGCUCUCUCUUGGAUCCCCCGCUCUGGGGGGAGCCAGCCGCCACGUGGGGAGGAUGCUCAGCCAGCGCUGUGGAGAGGUCACACAGCUGGCAAGGAACCGAGGCCUCCAGCCCAUAACAGCACCAACUUGGCAGGUGCAUAAGCUCGCCACCUUGCAGGCAGAUUCUCCAGGCUCAGGCAGACUUCCAGAAGAUGCAGCCCCAGCCAACAUCUUGACCUCAUGGGAAACCUCGAGCCAGAAGCACCCAGGCGUCCACCCCGGAACAAGAGUCCAAGCGAGGACCCUGCAGGGUUAUCGAGGGUUCCAGCCAGAGGGAUGAGCCCACCGUGGCUUCUUCGAGGGUCCUGUUGCACAGCUACUGUGUGCCUGGCAUGUGAUGCUUGGCACCAUUCCCUGACUGGGAGAAAAAGGGAGGAGAGGGCAGAGGUAGCCCGGCCACACUGCGCCCUCAGAGCAGCAUGGUCCAGCAGAACUUUCCGCAGCGAUGGCCAUGUUCUUCAUCUACUCUGCUCAGCGUGGGAGCCACGCCGGCCUCCAGAUCCAGCACUUGAAAUGUGGCUCAUGUCACCGAGAAACAGAAGGUUUAAUUUUAUUUCACUUUCAUUAGAGUAUAAAUGUCAAUAGCCAGUGGCGGCUAGUGGCUUCCGAAUUGGACAGCACAGCUCUUAAUCCUUGUUUUGGGUCUAUAAACACAAUCUCUAUUGAGUGUUUUUUUUUUUUUAAUUUUUAAAUUAAGGUACGAUUGACAUAGAGUAAAAUUCACCUUUUUUAGUGCACAGUUCUGUUGCUUUUGACAAAUACAUAGAGUCAUAUAAUCAUCACCACAAUCAUCGUCUCCUCUCCAAAAUUCUCACAUGUCAUUUUGUGGUCAACCUCUCCCCAGACCUCCAGCUCCUGGCAACCACUCAUCUGUGUCUCUCUCCAUAGUUUUGCCUUUUCCACAAUGUCCUACAAAUGAAGGCAUACACGGUGCAUUUGGGAAUCAUUCGUGUUGUUCUGUGUAUGCAUCCUUGCUCCUGUUCAUUGAUGCGUAGUAUUCCAUCUUAUGGUCAUACCACAGUUUGUUUAUUCACUCCCCACUUGAGGCACACUUGGGUUGUCACGUUGUUUCCAGUUUUUAGCAAU
rnacentral:lncRNA from 1 species